UACGUAGGGUGCGAGCGUUAAUCGGAAUUACUGGGCGUAAAGCGUGCGUAGGCGGUGAGUUAAGUCUGUCGUGAAAUCCCCCGGGCUCAACCUGGGAAUGGCGAUGGAUACUGGCUCGCUAGAGUGUGAUAGAGGAUGGUGGAAUUCCCGGUGUAGCGGUGAAAUGCGUAGAGAUCGGGAGGAACAUCAGUGGCGAAGGCGGCCAUCUGGAUCAACACUGACGCUGAGGCACGAAAGCGUGGGGAGCAAACAGG
rnacentral:rRNA from 1 species